GACGAACGCUGGCGGCGUGCCUAAUACAUGCAAGUAGAACGCUGAAGGAGGAGCUUGCUUCUCCGGAUGAGUUGCGAACGGGUGAGUAACGCGUAGGUAACCUGCCUGGUAGCGGGGGAUAACUAUUGGAAACGAUAGCUAAUACCGCAUAAGAGUAGAUGUCGCAUGACAUUUGCUUAAAAGGUGCAACUGCACCACUACCAGAUGGACCUGCGUUGUAUUAGCGAGGUGGGGAGGUAACGGCUCACCAAGGAAACGAUCCAUAGACGGCCUGAGAGGGGGAACCGCCACCCUGGGACUGGGGCACGGCCCAGGCUCCCACGGGGGGCCGCAGUAGGGAAUCUUCGGCCAUGGGCGGAAGUCUUACCGAGCAACGGCGCGUGGGUGGAGAAGGUUUUCGGAUCGUAAAGCUCUGUUUUAAGGGAAGAACGAGUGUGGGAGUGGAAAGUUCACGCUGUGACGGUAUCUUACCAGAAAGCGCCGGCUAACUACGUG
rnacentral:rRNA from 1 species